rnacentral:rRNA from 1 species
AUUGAACGCUGGCGGCAGGCUUAACACAUGCAAGUCGAGCGAGCGGCGGACGGGUGAGUAAUGUAUGGGAAACUGCCUGAUGGAGGGGGAUAACUACUGGAAACGGUAGCUAAUACCGCAUACCAUCAGAUGUGCCCAGAUGGGAUUAGCUAGUAGGUGGGGUAAUGGCUCACCUAGGCGACGAUCCCUAGCUGGGCUGAGAGGAUGACCAGGCACACGGGAACUGAGGCACGGUGCAGAGGCCUACGGGAGGAAGCAGUGGGGAAUAUGGCGAAAGGGGAGCAAGCCUGAUGCAGCCAUGCAGCGUGUGUGAAGAAGGCCUUCGGGUUGUAAAGCACUUUCAGCGAGGAGGCGUUACUCGCAGAAGAAGCACCGGCUAACUCCGUGCCAGCAGCCGCGGUAAUUC